rnacentral:rRNA from 1 species
AGGGUUUGAUCCUGGCUCAGGACGAACGCUGGCGGCAUGCCUAACACAUGCAAGUCGAACGAGAAAGUUCCUUCGGGAGCAAUUAAAGUGGCGCACGGGUGAGUAACGCGUAGACAAUCUGCCCUUCAGUCUGGGACAACUUUUCGAAAGGAGAGCUAAUACCGGAUAACAAUGCAUGACACAAGUUGUAUAUUUGAAAGCUUUAUGUGCUGAAGGAGGGGUCUGCGUCCCAUUAGCUAGUUGGUAAGGUAAAGGCUUACCAAGGCAACGAUGGGUAGCGGGUUUGAGAGGACGAUCCGCCACACUGGAACUGAGACACGGUCCAGACUCCUACGGGAGGCAGCAGUGGGGAAUAUUGCACAAUGGAGGAAACUCUGAUGCAGCAAUGUCGCGUGAGUGAAGAAGGCCCUUGGGUCGUAAAGCUCUUUUAUGGGGGAAGAUGAUGACGGUACCCCAAGAAUAAGCACCGGCUAACUAUGUGCCAGCAGCCGCGGUAAUACAUAGGGUGCGAGCGUUGUUCGGAAUUACUGGGCGUAAAGGGCGCGCAGGCGGAAUAGUAAGUCGGAGGUGAAAGCCCGGGGCUCAACCCCGGAGGGUCUUUCGAAACUACUAAUCUAGAGAGGGUCAGGGGCCGGCAGAAUUCCUGGUGUAGAGGUGAAAUUCGUAGAUAUCAGGAGGAAUACCGGUG